UCCACUGUUGCGUUUUUCAUACGUACGUAUACGCACGUAAAACUUUAAAUCCGUUUAAAUGUUACUUAUGAAAUAACCAAAUAAAUAAAGCAACAGAAUUUAGUGUUCCGCAAGUUUUAGUAUGCAUUUGUUAACUUAUUUGUAAAAUAUUUAAAAAAUAAAAGGAUUCAAAGUUUUACGUGCGUGUACGUGCGUACGAAAAACGCAACAGUGGA
rnacentral:miRNA from 1 species